CUAUGCGGCUGCCGGCCUUGCCCCAACGCCUGCCCCGAGUCCAGCUCGCCACCUACCCCAACGGGCCGCCCGUGCCCCGAGCUUGACGCCGCCCGCGCCCAGGCUCGCCGCGUUGCUCUUGAGGCGCUCCCGGUACACCCCGGCCCCGCCGGCGCCCCAUCCCACCGCCGCCGCCAUAGCGGGCCUCAUCUUCCUGCCUGCCGGCGCUAUUCCAUCGCCCCGUUCAGGAACAGAACUGGCCUGUAGUUGACGUCUGCCACCACCUCCAUCCACUCACUGCUGCCUCCAGCCCAGCUCCAUGGCCUCCGUAGCAGAGCACUCCGCUACCAGGAUGCCACCAAGAUCACUCGACAACUGUUUUGCUUGCCCGUGGGAGGAAGGACGAUGGCACGACGCACGACAGUCCCUCGCUGUCGGUCACCUUCACCGAUUGUUGAGCAAGCAGCCAAGCAGCCGCCACCAGCCCGCCACCACCAGUUCAGCAGGUUCAUUUUGAGGCUUGAAUUUGGCCCGCGCCAAUGGCCACCUUCCCCGACUAAACACGCCGCCGCCACCACCAGCUCAGGUAUGCAUCUAUGUUGUGCUCUGUAUGCCUAGGGGCAAAUGAAAGAUAGACUAGACAAAUGAAACGUUGGUCUCAUGCAUGUGUAAACAUAUGUGGGAUUUGAAAAGGAAGCGGGCAUGCGUGUGGUAAAGAAUAAAGGUUUUGGUCUAAAAAAAUGCAAAUGGUUGGUCUCCAAAUGCAAAGGAUUUCGGAUAAUGUAAUUGCAGUGCCUUAACUUCAGUUUUUAGUUUGCUUGAUUUGCUUCAAUUUGGUGAUCUGGUAUGAACAGUUAGCCAAAGAUUAUCAGAAAAUGUAGGAUUCUUACAGUGAAACAUAAUGGCGGUGCAUUGAAGAUGUGAAGCAUCAUAUCAGAUAUUCAUGUAAGCUCUUAUUUGUUAUAGGAAGCAUUACCUUGUACUCAGAUCCUUAUACGGUAUGCUGCUCUACAGAUAUUUUACUACUAUCCUGAGCUGGAAUUGUUUGUUUGGCGAUCA